GGGAGGAACGUUAGCUUCGCGGCGGCCAAGGAGGCAGCAGCGAAAAAAAGGGGGGAAAAGCGUUGGCAGCACGCAUGCGUGUUAUAACCCCCGACGUCGCUGCUGGUUUCCCCAGGGGUGCCUGCAACAGCUGGAGGCAACACGUGCGUUCUUGCAAGUGAGCAAAGAGGGCGGGGAUCGUGCACCGAACUGGAAGGGACUAGUAGGAAGUAAAAAGCCGAGUGUAUUUACAUGGGAUUGUAUUCCCAGGAAGCCACUCUAGCCCACCACACAAAGAAAACCCAGUUAUCAAGAGAUGGACUUUUUCCAAAGAUAUCACAUAAUUCUUAACACCUCUGCCAAAUCCCAUUAGGUCAAGCCAUCAGAAGGAGGGCAGGAAAGCUGCUCAUGCUGGCUCUCAAAUGACAUUGUGCCACAUUAUUCCCCUAUAUGUAUGCUGUGUUUUACAACAGCAGCAAAGUUUUUCAUGCUUGUAUUAUACUUGUUUUGGCUUUGAUAAUGAAUAACACUCGAUUCCCUUGUGACUUGGUGGAUCAUCCAUGAGUUGUUCUUUCCAAGUGUCAAACAAGUUCCAAAUACAGCCAUGGCUGUCGCCAUUUAUCCCAAAGCAAGCAGUCACCAAGUAUUCCAGUUUGGUUUCAGUGGUUAAGGCACCAGGUUAAAAAUCAGGAGAAUUCCUUGGGCACGAAAAACCAGCUGGAUGACUUUGGAUCAAUCGCUCUCACACUCACCGCACAAUUCACCUCAGAGAGGUGUGAGGAAAACAGGAGGAAGAAACAACAUUAGCCAGUUUGCCAAACUGCUCAGAAAGUUAACAACCGGUUCUCCCAAAGUGGUGCAAACUGACUGAAUCCCACCACUGGAUGGAUGGAUGGAAGGAAGGAAGGAAGGAUGGAGUCAACCUUUUUUUUCUAAAGAGGCCACCAAAGAUCGACCUCAGUUACAAAGAAGUGGUGACUUUUAAAUCUGUUUCUCCUCUCAGUGAAUAAAUAGGUAAGUAUGUAAGUGCUGAGAAAUAAAACCUUCCCUUUCCCCAGGGAAAGGUUAUGGCCACCAUCCAGUGAUGUAUCACUUGGACAGAGCAGGAUUGCAACAGAAAAGGACUCUGUCUAGGGAAAAGGGAGACAACUAGAAAGGACCCUAAACACCAAGAUGGAUGAGGACAGUGGGAGACAGAGCUGCCAGUUUAACAGAGAGGAAUGUUUUCUCUCCAAGCUGAACUUCAUAAGGUUUUCAAUGCUUCACUACCUCGAGCUAACUGUUUUUAUGCUUUUUUUCCCUCAGUGAAACCACCAGUUCCCUGAGAGGUCAUGUGAAAAGCUUGACAUUCUCUUUAUUCCUCCCAUGAUUUUGGCCAUAUCUCAAAAACAUUUUUCCAACACCAGCAUUCAACUUUCCCGACUGCCAUUAGUAAUGGUUGUGCCUCUGGGCUUUUGCUCUUCUCUAAUCAAUGAACAGACUCGGUGAAAAUACAUUUGGAGGCGGAAAAUAGUUAAAUCUAGGUAAUUAGGCAUUUAGACCUACAUUGUGAGCUCAUUAAGUAUAAACGAUGUGAUUUGUCCAUGCACCAGGAGCCUAAUUAAGGAUUUAGGAGGUUAACAUUGAGAGCAAGUUGUGUUUUAUAGUUUUUUAAAGCCUUGAGCAUAUUUCUAGUUCUCAAAUAUUAAGCCACUCGCACUGGUCUUGCUCUAUUAGCCAAAUAAUGCAGACACCACAUACUGUACACGUCCUACCUACUUGUUGCAGAAUUACUGUCAAACUUGCAAAUCCCCAAUUCGAGGGAAAUUUAUAUUUGAACAAUUUGCUCUUUCUUUUAAAGAAUCCUAUCCAUUAUACAUAUCAGCAGGCCGUGCACAGGCAGCUGAUGUGACUUGUCUGUUCAUGGGAACCGUCUGUUCAUAUUGAGACUAUGAAAUACAUUAAAAGAAAUCACAAAUCAGACAUUAUAGCGGGUGACUCUUACUUAAAGACUGCACGUUUAGUGGCUGCUCAGACUUGUGAUGGGGCUGAAUGCGUGGUAUGUAAAACCAGUCCUCAAAGUUCUGUCUAUUGCAACACCUCCACAGUCAUGUGCUCCUAGUCUGGGUGUUCAGCAACCGGCCCAGAUUUCAACCAUUGCUGUCGUGUCCCACUCCUCCGCUGACGACCGGGUCAGGGAAAUCCGAAUCAGGCGUGCCUCUGCAGCUCUGCCAAAGUCCUAGCAAAGUUCUCAAGGCAGGCAGGAGACCAGAAAGUGACUUCAGCAAGAUAUAUUAGACUUUGCCUGACUCAGAGAAUGCCAGAAAGCAGGUCCUUUAUAUAGGCCAUGGGGUGUGGCUCCAUGACUCAGCACUUAUCCAGGCCUGCCCCUCCCUUCCUUCUGUCGCCACCGCCUAUCAAUUCUUCUGAAGCGAGGGUCACUCCAGUCUGUAGCUGUUGGUAAUUGA